rnacentral:tRNA from 1 species
GGGCGUUUGGCACAGUGGUAGCGCGCACGCUUUGCACUGAUGAUUGCGUGAGGUCCAGGGUUCAAACCCCUGAACGUCCA